rnacentral:lncRNA from 1 species
UACAGCGGUGGAGUCUGCCAGGAACCGGAACCUCGAGCGCAACUCAGUUCGGGACGAUAGAUCCCAUUAAUAUGACAUCCGAUUCUCUGCUGGAGAACAUGAUCUAUAAAUGAUCUAUUUGUUCUACACAUCACCUGAAAAACAGGCCCCUAGACCCGAAGGAGGAACCCGCAGCCCUCUGCCGAGGCGGUGAAGAGUUUUUUUUUCGGUUUGCGUAUCUUCAAACGCGCUUCUCUGCCUCCCCCUCGACGCCGCGUCCCUCUCCCCUCUCCCCUCUCCCCUCUCCCUCUCCCUCUCCCUCUCCCACUCCCACACCCGCGGAUCCGCUCGCCAGACUCGUCCCGCUGCUCCCGCCUCCUCCCCGCCCCCGGCCGCUGCGCAGUCUGCUCGGUGCGCUCGCGCGGCCAGCACGUCACGGACACCGCGAGCUGGACCGCACGCGGCAAGGGGCAGUGCCGGACGGACCCCGCCGCCCUCUCGCUCCCCUGUCUCCCGCCUGCAAGUGCACCGGGACAGCCGCCGCGUCCUGGCGCCGAGAGCGUCCGCCGAGCUUUCAAUUUGAUGGUCCUGAAAGGCGGUACCGAGAGUUUCCCUGUCGAGCAGGAAAUGAUGUAGCCGUCUGUUUCUGA